rnacentral:rRNA from 1 species
CUUGAACGCUGGCGGCAGGCCUAACACAUGCAAGUCGAGCGGCGCGUCGGACGGGUGAGUCAUGCCUAGGAAUCUGCAUGGUAGUGGGGGAUAACGUCCGGAAACGGGCGCUAAUUCCGCAUACUAUCAGAUGAGCCUAGGUUGUAUUAGCUAGUUGGUUGGGCAAAGGCCUACCAAGGCGACGAUCUGUAACUGGUCUGAGCGGAUGAUCAGUCACACUGGAAUUGGAAAACGGCCCAGAAUCCUACGGGAGGCAGCAGUGGGGAAUAUGAGACAAUGGAGCAUAGUCUGAUCGAGCCAUGCGGCGAGAGUGAAGAAGGUCUUCGGAGUGUAAAGCACUGUAAGUUGGGAGGCGUUACCAACAGAGUAAGCACCGGCUAAUUUCGUGCCAGCAGCCGCGGUAAUUC